UACAGAGGUCCCAAGCGUUGUUCGGAUUUAUUGGGCGUAAAGGGUGCGUAGGCGGCGGAGUAAGUUGGGUGUGAAAUCCCGAGGCUCAACCUCGGAAUGGCAUUCAAUACUGCUUCGCUAGAGUACUGGAGAGGAGGCUGGAAUUUACGGUGUAGCAGUGAAAUGCGUAGAUAUCGUAAGGAAGGCCGGUGGCGAAAGCGAGCCUCUGGACAGUUACUGACGCUGAUGCACGAAGGCCAGGGGAGCAAACGGG
rnacentral:rRNA from 1 species